rnacentral:lncRNA from 1 species
GUUGCCUUUUAUCUCUACAGGUGUCCCUGGUGGAAUAUCCCAGUCUUACCUCCCACACGUGCUCACCUUUAAACCCUGCUACUCUCCUCCCUGCUCCUCAGGACUCUUCCACCUCUUCUCCUCUCACCCAUUCAUGCAUUGAAACUCUGGAGGAGCUUCUUCCACAUCCCUCCCACAUACAGGAAGGCCCCUGGCUGCAGGCAACAUGCACAUGGUUCACAGAUGGCUCCUCCUUCCUUCAGGAAGGAGUCCGUGUGGCAGGGUAUGCUACAGUCUCUCUCACCCAGGUUGUGGAAGCGGCUCCCCUCCCCAAAAUACAUCCAAUCAGCAGGCUGAACUUGUAGCCCUCAUCAGAGCCUUCACUUUGGCAAAGGGAGUCAAUGUCUACACGACGCAAUGUCUACACUGACUCUAAAUACGCUUUCCACAUACUUCUCUCCCACUCUGCUAUUUGGAAGGAGCGGGAUUCCUUGCCACCAAGGGAACUUCAAUUACUAAUGUCCCCUUUAUCUCCAAUCUCCUUCAGGCCUCAAAGCUUCCCACUGCCAUUGGAACUGAAGGAUGGCAGCUAAGUAACCCCUUUCUGCAGUGGGCACUUCCUUUCCUGACCUCUCUCCUUGUCAUAGGCCUUUGGCUAAAGCUUGCCCCCUGGGUCAUUAGAUUUAUUCAAACCAGAUUCAAAGGAUCUCUAACCAAACCGUGAGCCAACUUCUGUUGCAGGACUUCCAACCCCUCACCAACAUUGGGCUGUAUGGAGCCAGCAUCGCCCAGUACCUCCUGACCCUCACCACUGCCUCAGUGACACCCUGCCCCCCUGACAAGGGUCCAGACUCAGCCCCUUCCCAGCAGGAAGAAGCUAUAGAAGAUUGAUCUACACCUCUGUCCCUUAAGGGGCCCAAUAACAAACAAAAAAGGAGGGAAUAUAAGGUCCUUGCUUAGCAUCUGGAUGGCCAUCCUAAGUGACAGCUGCCAUUUUAAGAAAAAAUUCGCUUUCCUGUCCAAGGGCGUUUCUGAGAAAGGCUCUCCACUCCCUCAUACCAACCCCACCCUUAACCCCACAUUAGGGCCCACCCAAGUCUGAUCCCUGAGCUUGCCCCAUGAAAGUCCCCAACCCCAAGCCUGUUUUGCCUCUCUCCGUCUAUGGAGAGAUGGCCUUCAGUUGUCAGCAAAUAAACUCUUGUGUGUAUCUCUGCCUGGUCUCCGUCUUUCUUUUCUCUCUCACCUCUCUCCCGGUUCCUCGCUUUCCUUUCAAACACCCCCACGACUCUUGGACCAGAGGAGCUUCCCAGGAUGCACUGGGUCUUCUGGAUGGUACAGAAGCAGUGGGCUCUGGCCCUUCUCCCCACCUGAGUCUUCUGGAAUGUUCUGAUUUGCAGGGCUCCAUGACAAUCUCCCCCCACUCCCAGAGGAGAUCUUGUUAUGCUGCCCAGAUUAGUCACAAAUUCCUGGGCUAAAGCCAUCGUCCCCUCCCAUCAGCCUCUCAAGUACAUGGGACUACAGAUCUGUGCCACCAUGCCUGGCUCAGAUUUAAAAACAAAGAAACAAAAAAAUCCAAAACAAACAACAACAAAACCAAACUAUGUUAACAUAAAACUGGAUUUACACGUGUGCACACAAAUGCUUGCACACACACCCAGGGCCUCCUACAGCCCUCAAAACAGACUUUAACCCUCGUCUACACCUCUCAAAACUCAGUCACCUUGUGCCCAGAUGCCAAUUUGAGAUCCUCUAUUCAGGCCUCUGAGCUUCUUGCUGAUGGAGGUCCACCAGUCCUAGGUUUCCAGUGGCAUCCAUGAAAUCUCAUAGUCUGCUUCCUGACAGAUGAUGCCUCAGUCCAAGCACAGAGCAGUUUUCUUGGUUGACACCCAGCCUCAUUCCCAUCUCGGAGAGUCUGCUGGCUGGUGCAGGGAGGCUGGUGGCAGCCUGCAGAGCCACGAGGUCGCACGUUUUGCGUGGCUCCUGCCGUCUGGUCUCUCCCUAGGCUUUCACAUGGCUCAUGGCAGGGUGUUACAGGUGUACCGAGAGAAGGCACACGUGACCACAAUCUGGUAUG